rnacentral:lncRNA from 1 species
CCAGCGCGUACGCGCGCGCGGUAGCUACUUGCCGCCGGCGGCGACGGCCUCUCGGGGCGUGCACGGUGGCGGGAAGGCCCCAAAGUAGCUGUCGAUGCAGACGCGGCGGGAAGGGCGCGACCUGGACGGCAGGCAGGUCUUGCACGUCGGAGCACACUUGUCGACCUCGUCGCCGCAGCGGCACGUCGGCGGGUUGGACUUGGUGCAGGUAGGCUUGUCGCAGCACUUCCACGGCCGGCAGAUGGGUCCAGGGUCGCCGAUGUACUGGUCUUGGCAGAUCCGGCGGGACGGGUCAGCCGCGGACGGCCCGCAGGACUUGCAGGUUUUGGGGCACUUGAAGACCUGGUCCAUGCAGGUGCAGAUGGGAGGGAACGACCUGGUGCAGAAGGGCUCGUCGCAGCACUUCCAUGGCCUCUUCUUGGCCGCCGCCAUGGCUGCUUCGCCUGCAAGCUCUCAGUUGUGAAGGACUGACGGUUUCGUCAUGGCCGCAUGAAGCCACGAACAAGCUAGCUAGAGGAAGAAAGCGGUUUGACG